rnacentral:rRNA from 1 species
UGCCAGCCGCCGCGGUAAUACGGAGGAUCCAAGCGUUAUCCGGAAUCAUUGGGUUUAAAGGGUCCGUAGGUGGAUAGAUAAGUCAGAGGUGAAAUCCUGCAGCUCAACUGUAGAAUUGCCUUUGAUACUGUUUAUCUUGAGUCAUUAUGAAGUGGUUAGAAUGUGUAGUGUAGCGGUGAAAUGCAUAGAUAUUACACAGAAUACCGAUUGCGAAGGCAGAUCACUAAGCUACGAUUGACGCUGAGGCACGAAAGCGUGGGGAGCGAACAGGAUUAGAUA